rnacentral:rRNA from 1 species
AUGACAGCGGCACAAGAAUCUGGCAACUACGGCGACUACUGCGUCGUCCCCAUUGAACCUGAACCAGAGCCUGCCGAUGUCGCCGGCGAAGACCAGGCGGCCGUUUGGCUGGACACGCUGGCGAUGUUCGUCUUGCUGGCGAUUUCUGUAGGCUUGGCCUUCUACAUGUCCCACCUAACCCGAGUUCUGGAGCCUGGGUACUCGGUACAGUUCACAGGCGUCCAAGGACUCGACCCCUCGCAGAACCCUGCCCCCUCGCCGGCCUUCAACCUCACUGUCCACGUUAACAACAAGCAGCACAUGCGACGAGUCUGCCAGGAGGAGAACACCGUGAUCGUCUACUAUGACGAAGGCAGUAGUAACUCCACGACGAGAAGCAUCGGAUGGGGCAAGAUGCCUGCCUUCUGCGUGGAUAGGUGGUCGACGACGGACCUCGACGUGUCUUUGUCUAAUCAGGGCCUGUUCCUCUCUCAGAGGUUGCGGGAGAAGAUGGAGGCCGAUCGGCAAAGCCAACAAAUUGAUAUAAGCGUCGAGAUCAAGCCAACUCAUCCAGAGAAGUCCUCUACGCCAUGCCUCAAAUUGUGUGGGGGCAAGACGAUCGGCCAGUCCUUCCCAUCCGCGUCAGCGAUGCCAUGCAGCACACUAUGCGCGACAGAAAGGAAGUAUAUUUACUAUAGGGAUCAUCAACGGCGCCCUCCGAGUCACCAAAGCUAUUCCCCUCUCUACUUCUAG